CUCAACUUCAACUCUUCUCUACUAGGCAAACUAGCAAUGGCAAGAAAAAAUUGUAAUGUUGGUCAGAGAGCAUGGAACAUCCUGCGUCUAGCAUUGUUAUGGGCAAGAAAAGGUGGUGCUUUCAAGAGACGUUUGAUGGUGGAACUACGUGUUUUACCUAAGUUUCUUAAAAGCCUAACCCUAGGCCACACUACUUCUACAACUCCUCGCACCCAACUCUUUUAUAGAGAGCGCCAGCUCUCCUUCGACAAGACACCUAUUUUUCACGUCAAGAUGCACCGCCC
rnacentral:misc_RNA from 1 species